UACGGAGGGUGCAAGCGUUUAUCCGGAUUCACUGGGUUUAAAGGGUGCGUAGGAGGGCAGGGAAGUCCGUGGUGAAAUCCUAGAGCUUAACUCUAGAACUGCCGUGGAUACUCUCUGUCUUGAAUCCCGUGGAGAUGAGCGGAAUAUGUCAUGUAGCGGUGAAAUGCUUAGAUAUGACAUAGAACACCAAUUGCGAAGGCAGCUCGUUACACGAAGAUUGACUCUGAGGCACGAAAGCGUGGGGAUCAAAAAGGG
rnacentral:rRNA from 1 species